rnacentral:rRNA from 1 species
CCUACGGGUGGCAGCAGUGAGGAAUAUUGGUCAAUGGUCGGGAGACUGAACCAGCCAAGCCGCGUGAGGGAGGAAGGUACAGAGUAUCGUAAACCUCUUUUGUCAGGGAACAAAGGCUGGGACGCGUCCCCGUGUGAGUGUACCGGACGAAAAAGCAUCGGCUAACUCCGUUCCAGCACCCGCGGUAAUACGGAGGGUGCGAGCGUUAUCCGGAUUUAGUGGGUUUAAAGGGUGCGCAGGCGGUCGGUUAAGUCAGGGGUCCAAGCCCGGGGCUCAACUCCGGCACGGCCGUUGAAAUUGGCAGUCUAGAGUUUGAGAGAGGUAUGCGGAAGGCGAGGUGUAGCGGUGAAAUGCAUAGAGAUCGUGCAGAACUCCGAUUGCGAAGGCAGCAUGCCGGCUCCACACUGACGCUGAGGCACGAAAGCGUGGGUAGCGAACAGGAUUAGAUACCCCUGUAGUC